rnacentral:rRNA from 1 species
AUUGAACGCUGGCGGUAUGCUUAACACAUGCAAGUCGAACGAUGAGAAAGAGCUUGCUCUUUCGAUUAGUGGCGGACGGGUGCGUAACGCGUAGGAAUCUACCUAUUAGUGGGGGACAACUUAGGGAAACUUAAGCUAAUACCGCAUACGCCCUACGGGGGCAAGAAGGGGAUCGCAAGACCUUUUGCUAAUAGCUGAUCCUGCGUAGGAUUAGCUAGUUGGUGGGGUAAAAGCUCACCAAGGCGACGAUGCUGAACUGGUUUGAGAGAAUGAUCAGUCACACUGGAACUGAGACACGGUCCAGACUCCUACGGGAGGCAGCAGUGGGGAAUAUUGGACAAUGGGCGAAAGCCUGAUCCAGCAAUACCGCGUGUGUGAAGAAGGCCUUAGGGUUGUAAAGCACUUUCAAUUGGAAGGAAAACCUCGAUGCUAAUACCUUCGAGUUUGACAUUACCUUUAGAAGAAGCACCGGCUAACUCCGUGCCAGCCGCCGCCGUAAUAC